GGAGGGUUGGCCGAGUGGCUUAAGGCGUCCGCCUGCUAAGCGGAAGGGGAACAUAAAUUCCUCGCAUGGGUUCGAAUCCCAUACCCUCCGCCA
rnacentral:tRNA from 1 species